GACGAACGCUGGCGGCGUGCCUAAUACAUGCAAGUAGAACGCUGAAGAGAGGAGCUUGCUCUUCUUGGAUGAGUUGCGAACGGGUGAGUAACGCGUAGGUAACCUGCCUUGUAGCGGGGGAUAACUAUUGGAAACGAUAGCUAAUACCGCAUAACAAUGGAUGACCCAUGUCAUUUAUUUGAAAGGGGCAAAUGCUCCACUACAAGAUGGACCUGCGUUGUAUUAGCUAGUAGGUGAGGUAACGGCUCACCUAGGCGACGAUACAUAGCCGACCUGAGAGGGUGAUCGGCCACACUGGGACUGAGACACGGCCCAGACUCCUACGGGAGGCAGCAGUAGGGAAUCUUCGGCAAUGGGGGCAACCCUGACCGAGCAACGCCGCGCGAGUGAAGAAGGUUUUCGGAUCGUAAAGCUCUGUUGUAAGUCAAGAACGAGUGUGAGAGUGGAAAGUUCACACUGUGACGGUAGCUUACCAGAAAGGGACGGCUAACUACGUG
rnacentral:rRNA from 1 species